CCGAUCUUGGGUUCACCGGCUUAACUCAUCCCGCCGCCGCAGCUUCCUUUUCUAACCCCAAACCUUCAAACCCUCGCCCCUUCUAACCCUCGGUCUCUCUCCCUCCUCGAUGGCAUCCCUUCUCCACAAACUCCUCCGGAGAAUCCCUCCGCCGCCGCCCCUCCGAAUCCUCCCAUGCCUCACCAAACAACCCCAUCUCCCAGACCCCUCCUCACUCCCUCCCGAAAACCCAAUCCCGAGAACCAAUCCCACGCCAACCCCUCCCCUUACUUAUCUUCCAAACCCCAUUCAGAUAUACCCACAAUUUCCCUUCUUCUUCCAUCCGGAAUCCAUCCCUUUGUCUGGACUCGUCGAAUCCGAUGCCGAGCGCGCGUCCGGCGAUGCGACCAGCGACCGAACGGUGUGGGCCGACAGCGUGAAGAAGAAGAGGAAGAGGAAGAUGAACAAACACAAGUACAGGAAGCUCAGGAAGCGCCUCCGCCGCCAGACUUAGCCUUCCCCGGCUCCAUUUGGUGAUUUCCUUGGGUAGAUCAUCGAAUUGGCUUGACUUCAGUUUCCUCAAGUGGGUUAUGGGGCAGGUGGGACUCCUUCGAUGUGGUAUUAAAUCACCUAAUCAUGCAGCUGGAGCAUCUUUGUUGAGGAGAAUAUGUACCUUCGAAUGGACUAGAAUUAUCUUGGCUGGAGAAAAACUAAAUAAAGAGAAAGCAUGAAGCACAUUAUGGUGCAAUCAUUUCUUUGGACAUUCUUUGCUCUCUUUUAAGAUGAGCUAUGGUGUAAUCAUUUCUCUUGACAUUCUUUAGUCUCUUUUAUAAUGAGUCGAUCCUAGAUCAUCUAGUGUGCUCUUUUUA